GUAAAUAUUUUGAGACUUUACAAAUCGGAAAAAUGAACAAAAAAAAACUGAUCACAUUGGUCAAAUUAUCCAUAAAACUAAAUUAAUUAAGUAUCAUUAAAACUAAACUGAUUCCGACUUACCAAAAAACAAUUCAAAAAUCUGCCGCGCCCAGCCAUCCGCCGUGAAAAAAGACACCUCGCGCUGCACACACACCUCCCGUGCAGACUGCGCGUAGACGAUUCAUCCGUAAAAUCUGAAACGUCAAUAAAAGCUUUUUUUCUUCCCAUUCAAGUGCACGGUGGAGUACUUGGUGUGGAGGUAGUGCGGCGAAACGAGAAUUGUCUUGAGAAAAACGCAAAACUCCCUCACAGUCUGUAUUAUUUCCGCCGUGAGACACCGGACUUCGUACAUUGAGAAUGUUUACCGUAGAUUCUGCAAAGCGUACUAAUUGAAAACGGUCAGAUUUUCAGAGAAUUCGUGAAACGAAAAGUGCAAAGUUGCUCGCCGUCGUCAUUAUCGUCUUGAUCCAGUCCGGAAGUUUGUCUCGAGGGGGGUCCGCCUGAAUGCUGAUUACUGUCACAGGGGGGAAACGCGCCCCUCGUAGGCGUAUCUGACGGAUGCGAAAAGACAAUAAUAAUACGAACUGACAAAGGUGGUAUUUACGCUGGACUGUGCAACCGUGGAGUGAAGACCGUGAACAAGUGCCCGUGGGUUUCGUUUUUCACGCUUUGCGCCCAACUUGUCGACAUCCUGGGGAUGACUUGGUGCUGCUGCAGCCGUUCCCUGCUCGCUCGGUCAUUCUGACUUGGUCGGGAUUUUCACGGUGGAGUGCGAGAAGUGCUAACGUUGUGAUUCAUAGUAUUACGAGUAGUCUCUCUGCCAGUUGUGAAAAUUUUCUAAUCGGUGUCUCGGCCGGGAAAGUACGUCGUCAACGCAUAUUUGGUCCACUCCACCUGCGUGUUUACGAAAGCGGUGCUGCUUGCUCGAGCCGAUCCGUUUGUCCGCGGCUGCCGUUGCAGGGUAGUGCCCGAGCGAUAGGAAGAAAAAGGAGUGCGUGAUGGCGGAAUUAAUCAGAAUGGGAGGCGCAAUCGUCAUUCAAAAAGACAAACUGGGCUCGCCAUCAACGGGAUCGGAGGAUGGAGGCGGUGGUGGUGGCGGUGGAGGGGGCGGCGGCGGUGGCGGUAUAGACCUUGGCGACCUUGCACAGGAGCUCGAUCAAGAUGAAUUCGAUGGACCGACAAUGUCAAACGGUGAUCGUCCAGCACUUAUUGCUCCCCCUGAGAGUGAAUGGUAUCAUGGACGUUUGGAUAGAUACUCAGCCGAGGCUCGCUUACGGGCAGCUGGAAAACUUGGUAGUUAUUUAGUUCGAGAAAGUGAUAGAAAACCAGGCUCAUACGUACUAAGUUAUCUAGGCCGUACAGGAAUUAAUCAUUUUAGAAUAACUGCUGUAUGUGGUGAUUUCUACAUCGGCGGAAGGCAAUUUAUAUCGCUUAGUGAUCUAGUCGGAUAUUACACAUCAUGUAGUGAUUUAUUGAAACGUGAGCGGCUUGUCAUACCGGUUCCGCCACCUGAACCAGUCAAUGAUAAAAAGCGUGUCGUGGCAAUUUUACCCUACACAAAAAUGCCCGAUACGGAUGAACUGAGUUUCCAAAAAGGUGAUAUAUUUUUCGUACACAACGAUAUGGGGGACGGAUGGCUUUGGGUAACUGCUCAUAGAACCGGUGAACAAGGAAUGAUAUUUCGAGAACUUGUUGAAGAUUUGGAUCAAAGUAUUGAUCCUAACACGGUGUUUCCGUGGUUUCAUCCAAACUGUACUAAGAAUGAAGCUGUGGAUAUGUUAGUGAAAGCUGGUCCUGGAAGCUUUUUGGUGCGACCGAGCGACAAUUCUCCAGGCGAUUAUUCGUUGUUUUUCCAUAUAAAUAACCAAAUCCAACGAUUUCGUAUCGAGAAGAAGGGCGUUAGAUAUUUGAUGGGUGGUCGCACCUUUGAAUGCUUAGAUGCUGUCAUAAACAGAUAUCGAAAGGAACAAAUUGUAGAGGGACACACCCUACAGCAUCCGGUCGUGAAUGGAGUUCAACCGGAAUUCAACCAACAAACAGCUACAGAAAAAGCUGCAGAGAAGAUUUAUGCAACACUGCGUGAAUGCCGUGAUCAAAUUGGCCUGAAAAAGAUUAAGGGCAUCAAAUAUCACGGCUACCUACAUAAAAAAUCUGAUAAGACUGCCAAAUGGAAGCAACUCUAUUUCGCUUUAAUCAGCGAAGGUUCCGAAACACAUUUAUGUUUCUAUGACAAUCCAAAAAAGACAAAGCCCAAAGGCUUAGUUGAUCUAUCGUGCGCGUAUUUGUAUCAGUGCCAUGAUUCCCUUUGGGAACGACCAUAUUGUUUUCAAAUAGUUGAACGCGCACUCCCUUGUCUAGCAACUGUAACGUACUUGUGUGCACCUAGUCAAGAAACCUAUACUGAAUGGAUAAGUGCGUUGAAAUUACAAUGUGUCUCGCAAUUGAGUCGUGCUCAAACGAAGGUGCCUAGAUUAAGGGAAUUACGAUGUUUGAAUUUGCAUGUCUUAGAGGCACAUCGGCUACCAUUUAAGCUUGUGCCGCAUCCAUAUUGUUCGAUUUCAUUGAAUCAGGUCAAAGUGGGAAAGACUCGUGUAAAGGCUGCACCAGAUCCAGUUUGGGAAGAGGAGUUUGUAUUAGAUGAUGUUCCUCCAGAUGUUAUGUCAUUGACAAUAACCGUACUUAGUCGUGGCAAGAGAGGUAAAGACUCUGAAGUAGCCUACUUGACCGUCGAUUUAGCAAAUCUGAAAAACGGACAAGAGACAGAAGAAUGGUAUUCGCUAACUGGUAUGACACCAAUGGGAGAAUGGGGCUCAUUACGUCUCCGUAUACGUUAUCUAGACGACCUCAUAAUGCCAUGUGAAGAAUACAGCCCAUUGCAACAACUUCUACUUGAAACGGAAUUGUAUUCAGUGAAAGCAUUGGCUGAAUUGUGCCAUAACGAUCGCGUACCGUUAGCCACCUCUCUACUUCGGGUAUUCCGGCAUGAAAAACGUGAGACUGAACUUCUUAGAAUUCUAUGUCAAGCAGAAAUUAGUCGAGAGUAUGAGACAACAACACUAUUUCGUGGUGCCUCUCUGGCAACAACCCUCAUGGAUUUAUAUAUGCGAACUGAAUGCUAUGGCUUCUUACAAUCAGCCGUUUCCGAAACAGUACAACGAAUAUUGGACAGCAAACAAUCGGCUGAGUUGAAUCCAACAAAAAUGGAUGUGAACGAUGAUGCAUGUUCAAACGCAGAGUUCUUAUUACAGAUUUUGGAUCAAGUCACUCAGUCGAUAUUCACUUCGCCUGAAGCAUGUCCUCGUUCGGUAAGGUAUAUAUGCAAUUGUUUGCAGAAGGCGGUAGUCGCAAAAUGGCCAACGGAAAGAUUGGUUCGAACGCGGGUCGUUUCUGGGUUUAUAUUUCUGCGGCUACUCUGCCCAGCACUUUUGAAUCCCAGGCAAUUUGGGUUAGUCAGCGAAACUCCACCUACUACUGCAACAAGGUCGCUAGUGAUGGUCGCGAAAUGUUUACAAAAUUUGGCAAAUUUGAUUGAGUUUGGCGGAAAGGAACCUUAUAUGGAGGUAGUCAAUCCUUUCAUUUUGAAAAACAAAGAACGGAUGAUCGUGUUCCUUGAUCAGCUCUCGUCGAUUACGGAUCCGAAUCCCCCACCGGGAGUUUACAUAGAACAGAGUGCCUCGCACACAUGUUCAGAUACUGGUCGGGAGCUUGCUACUCUUCAUCAUAUUUGUGUUUCUUACCAACCCGAACUACAAAAUUUAGCGAAAUCCAAUUCAUCGAUUAAAAAAUUAGUCACAGUCACUGAUAUGCUAACUAAGCACAAAUUAAAAUACAGAGAAAUGAUAAGUUAAGGUGGAUCAUCUCUAAACCAGUGGAAAGAAAAGAAAAGGGAGAAGAAAAAAAAAACAAUUGACAAGAAUAUUUCUUUCAUUGAGAACUUCUGAAUAAUGUUUUUACGCACAAAAGGGUAAACUUAACCUUUAUGAUAUAAAGUUCCGAAAUUAUGAAUGUAUUAGGAUUGACAAGAUCAGGUGUUUUGUCUACGUAAUUUGAGCGAUCUCAACUGAAUUUUAGUAGAUGUAAUUUCGUUUCUGGAAACCGCCAAUAAGGCUACUUUUUGCUUUUGUAUAGAGGUGCCAAAAUUGAACUGGCUAAGUGAAGUGAAUGUAAUGGUUGCGUUCGUUGUUAUUAAGCAUUGGUCAGCAGUGAUGAAAUAUAGAAAUCGGUAAAAAUUAAAACAAAAAAAGGAAAUUUGGAUGUCUCCAUUGAAUUUCGGGAACAGACUCUCUAGAUAUCACUGAGAUUAUUCGAAAUAGUGCUGCGAUCUAGCAUCUUGUGAUGACAUAUUUUCUGGUUCUCUAAUUAAAAAACUGAAUACUUUAUUUCUCAUAUCUAUCUGUGAUUCAGGAGGAAAUGGAAAACACUCAGUCUUGAAAUUUUAAGGCAAAUUUAUAAUUUUUUUUUGUUAAAAAUAAAAAAUAUUCUACUUG
rnacentral:misc_RNA from 1 species